rnacentral:misc_RNA from 1 species
UACGAAGGGGGCAAGCGUUGUUCGGAAUCACUGGGCGUAAAGCGUACGCAGGCGGAUCUGCCAGUCAGGGGUGAAAUCCCGGGGCUCAACCCCGGAAUUGCCUCUGAUACUGUAGAUCUAGAGUCCGUGAGAGGAGUGUGGAAUUCCUAGUGUAGAGGUGAAAUUCGUAGAUAUUAGGAGGAACACCAGUGGCGAAGGCGACACUCUGGCGCGGUACUGACGCUCAUGUACGAAAGUGUGGGGAGCAAACAGG